rnacentral:rRNA from 1 species
GAUGAACGCAGCGGCAGGCCUAACACAUGCAAGUCGAGGGGUGACAUAGAAAAGCUUGCUUUUCUGAUGACGACCGGCGCACGGGUGCGUAACGCGUAUACAACCUACCUUUUAGCGGGGAAUAGCCCACGGGAAACUUGGAUUAAUGCCCCAUAGUAUAUGGACUUCUCCUGAAGUUUAUAUUAAACAUUUAUGGCUAUUAGAUGGGUAUGCGUCCUAUUAGUUAGUUGGUAAGGUAACGGCUUACCAAGGCAGCGAUAGGUAGGGGUCCUGAGAGGGAGACUCCCCACACUGGUACUGAGACACGGACCAGACUCCGUACGGGAGGCAGCAGUGAGGAAUAUUGGACAAUGGGCGAGAGCCUGAUCCACGCCAUGCCGCGUGCAGGAAGACUCGCCCUAGUGGGUUAGUAAACUGUCUUUUACAGAGGAAGAACCCACCCCACGUGUGGGGGUUUGACGGUACUCUGCGAAUAAGGAUCGGCUAACUCCGUG